AGCGAAACGGGAAGAGCCCAAACCAACAAGCUUGCUUGUUGGGGUUGUAGGACACUCUAUACGGAGUUACAAAGGACGACAUUAGACGAAUCAUCUGGAAAGAUGAAUCAAAGAAGGUAAUAAUCCUGUAGUCGAAAAUGUUGUCUCUCUUGAGUGGAUCCUGAGUACGACGGAGCACGUGAAAUUCCGUCGGAAUCUGGGAGGACCAUCUCCUAAGGCUAAAUACUCUCUAGUGACCGAUAGUGAACCAGUACCGUGAGGGAAAGGUGAAAAGCACCCCGGAAGGGGAGUGAAAUAGAACCUGAAACCGUGUGCUUACAAGUAGUCAGAGCCCGUUAAUGGGUGAUGGCGUGCCUUUUGUAGAAUGAACCGGCGAGUUACGAUUUGAUGCAAGGUUAAGCAGUAAAUGUGGAGCCGUAGCGAAAGCGAGUCUGAAUAGGGCGUUUAGUAUUUGGUCGUAGACCCGAAACCAGGUGAUCUACCCUUGGUCAGGUUGAAGUUCAGGUAACACUGAAUGGAGGACCGAACCGACUUACGUUGAAAAGUGAGCGGAUGAACUGAGGGUAGCGGAGAAAUUCCAAUCGAACCUGGAGAUAGCUGGUUCUCUCCGAAAUAGCUUUAGGGCUAGCCUCAAGUGAUGAUUAUUGGAGGUAGAGCACUGUUUGGACGAGGGGCCCCUCUCGGGUUACCGAAUUCAGACAAACUCCGAAUGCCAAUUAAUUUAACUUGGGAGUCAGAACAUGGGUGAUAAGGUCCGUGUUCGAAAGGGAAACAGCCCAGACCACCAGCUAAGGUCCCAAAAUAUAUGUUAAGUGGAAAAGGAUGUGGCGUUGCCCAGACAACUAGGAUGUUGGCUUAGAAGCAGCCAUCAUUUAAAGAGUGCGUAAUAGCUCACUAGUCGAGUGACACUGCGCCGAAAAUGUACC
rnacentral:rRNA from 1 species